CUCUGUGUGGGGAACAUGAGAGCCAGACCAAAGCUCAGAGGAUCAAUGAGAGACCUGCUGGAUCUGAACCUGAACUCAGCUGUGUGUCCCUAAGGAGUGACCAGUCUAAUGGUCACAUUGCUCAUUUUAAGGUCCAGCCUGUGUCUGCUGCAGAGAGGAAGAAACGAGGAACUAAACGCAAACAUGAACCUGAACCCAGCUGUGUGUCCCUAAGGAGUGACCAGUCUAAUGGUCACAUUGCUCAUUUUAAGGUCCAGCCUGUGUCUGCUGCAGAGAGACAGUGCAUCUCCUCAUACUGGGACCAGUCUGCUUCAUCAGGAGACUCCUCCUGUCCCCAGUGUGGAGAAAGAUCCAGAAGCAGAGCUGGACUGCAGACAGCCAGUCAGAGCAGCUGUGUACAAACAGAUGUUGGUCUGCAGGAGGUUUUAGAUGAAC